CCCUUAGAAGAUGUCCACGUCCUCAAAAAAAUUUAGCCAAUUAAAGAUCUUUUAAUCAGCCACGUCAUUUAAGUUAAGUUGUAAUGGACAUUUUGUGUGGGCUUUGUUUAAAUAAUAAUUUAGCCCAGCCCCACUCUCUGUCGACAAACUCUUUUACGGUUUUGAGAGUCAUAACUCUUCCAUUUCUGUCGCUUCCAAUUUCAGAGUUUUAGGUUACUUUGAUCCCUCCGAAUCAAUCAAUGAUUUGCAUUCCUAAUUGUCGUCUUCAAAACUGUAAUCUCUGGAUGACGAUUCACUCUUCACGUAUUCCUCCACUAUGUAUAUGAUGCUCCAGAUUUACACGGCUGCCAUAUAUAUAUUCAUCACUCUUCCUCCACGUAUACUCUAUUGGUGUGACUCUUAAAGUCUCUAACCCAUCAUCGCAGCAAUCCCUCCCACUGUUUUUUCCGAUGAAACUUCAGUCUCAGACUUGCAGUCAUAAAUGGUCAUGGAGAUUUUCGGUACAGCAAUUGUCAAAUCCCCGCGGUGGAACUUGCUGAGUCAAUGGCUACAAUGGGACAUCGUUUUACUUAUCAUUAGUUGACUGAAAUUAUGACGGAUGUUGAUUAUUACGUGAGGGCGUUAUGAGUUUCAGUAUAUACUGAAUUCGACCAACUAUACAUUUUUGUAAUCAUUUUCAGGAUAACAAGGAUGCAAGUGGUGAGAACAAUUUAAUUGGUCAGAUCUUGGUAUGGGGGUUCUAUAUCAUUUAUUUGUUGAAGAAUGGGUUACUGUGUCUUAGACCAAAAAAAAAAAAGGUUACUGUGUCAACAAAGAGCCCAAAGUCUGGUAAGCAAUAUGUAUGGGAAGGAGAAGCAGAUUCACGCAAUUAUACCAUUAAAGAAGGGACUGAUUCUCAGCUAAUCAUUCCUAGAGGGACAUGUAUUACUUAGCACCUUAAGAAAAACUUUCAACGAGUAUCCAUGCAUUGGCAUGCAUCAUCCCACUUCCCAACAGAGCCUGAGGUCGAGUUUAGAUCCAUCUUUUAUGUGCCACCAGUCUCACCAAUUGGACAGGAUGACGUGGUUAAUUAAAAGACAAAGAACAUAAGGCUCUAUGUAAAACAAGUUUCAAGUGAUUUUGACGAGAAGCUGGUGAGAGAAGUAUCUCUAUGGACAGCUACUCUUUGGUCAUUUUUUUGUUUCAUUGGUAUUUUCUCAAGGGUGUUAUGGACUCACACGAUCUCCCGUUAACGUGUCUCAUGAGAUUCUUUAAGAAAAUUGCAUUGUGUGUAUCAUGAAGAAAUGUCUGGUGGAGAAAGCUUCUGGUAUGAUUUUGAGAAUUUACUUGAGUGAGAAUAGAGAAAGUGUAGAGUUCAUGUUCGUGAUGUUCCUAAUGAUGAAGAGUGUGGAGUUUCUGUUCAUGAGGACAAGUACGUGAUGAACUCUCUUUUGGUUAGCCUGAGAACUCUUUCUGGAUUAUAAACGCUUUUAUUCUUUUUGGUUUGCUGGAGACUUUUCGAGUUAUUAAGCAUGUCUUGUGCUCUUGAGGAAUUGUACUAUUGUGGAAAGACCAAAAGAUAAUUAUACAGGUGACUAGAACCAAAUUGGCAUUUGCUGGUUUAAAUCAGUACGGUAUAUAUGCAGUAUAUCUGUAUAUAUGUACUAGAUGGGCCUAAUCAAAUGUUUUCGUAAAAA